rnacentral:rRNA from 1 species
UACGUAGGGCGCAAGCGUUAUCCGGAAUUAUUGGGCGUAGAGCUCGUAGGCGGUUUGUCGCGUCUGCCGUGAAAGUCCGGGGCUCAACUCCGGAUCUGCGGUGGGUACGGGCAGACUAGAGUGAUGUAGGGGAGACUGGAAUUCCUGGUGUAGCGGUGAAAUGCGCAGAUAUCAGGAGGAACACCGAUGGCGAAGGCAGGUCUCUGGGCAUUAACUGACGCUGAGGAGCGAAAGCAUGGGGAGCGAACAGG